rnacentral:rRNA from 1 species
UACGUAGGGACCAAGCGUUGUUCGGAUUUACUGGGCGUAAAGGGCGCGUAGGCGGCGAAUCAAGUCAGCUGUGAAAUCUCCGAGCUUAACUCGGAACGGUCAGCUGAUACUGUUUUGCUAGAGUGCAGAAAGGGCAACCGGAAUUCUUGGUGUAGCGGUGAAAUGCGUAGAUAUCUGGAGGAAUACCGGUGGCGAAGGCGGCAUCCUGGACCGACAUUGACGCUGAGGAGCGAAAGCCAGGGGAGCAAACAGG